UCGGCUUCCCGCUUGCCGUACUUGGCUCCGCCAUUGUUUGACAGUUUACGUCGUUGCUAACCACAGUCUUUCCUGGUUACCUAACGUACUCAACAAGAACAACAAAAACACAAAUGUCGUGUGGAUGUUUAGGACGCCUUUCAGUACCACAGAGAGCAUGAAAGAGGACAGACGUUACAGCCAGGAUGAAAGAUGAAGCCAAACCAGUGCGACGUCCUCUUAGCCAGAGUGAAGUGGCCGCCUACUUCACACAAUCUGUUCUAUGACCGCAGCAACACAGAUCUGCUACAAGCCCAGAGAAGCUGAGAUCGCACACGUCAACGCUGCAUCUCUGUCAUGUACAAAGAGUACAGAUCAAGCCGAGUCACUGACAUCAACAUCUGCUGCAUCCUCUGUUAUCCGUGUCAAGGCUCCUGAUUUGAAGUGUUAAUCUUAUUCAAGCUCACAAAUAUCAUUCAUACAGGAAUCUGACAUGGAGAGCACACACACACACACACACACACACACACACACACACACAC